GUCUGUGACCACACCACUCUGAACGAACCCAAUCUCAUCUGAUCUCGGAGGCUAAGCACAGCCAGGCCUACUUUGUACAUAGGUGGGGGAAUCAUAGCAGAGUAAUACAACUGGGAAGUGGUACAUG
rnacentral:rRNA from 1 species